rnacentral:misc_RNA from 1 species
AAGUCGUAACAAGGUAACCGUAGGUGAACCUGCGGUUGGAUCAUUACUGAGUAAUGUAAAUUAAACUUGUGAAUUUGAGCAAAGUCUUUAGAGACUUGGCAACAUUCUUUUGUGGGUGAUGAAAGUUGGUAAUAAGAAAAGGAUGCAUGAAAAACAACUUUUGACAAUGGAUCUCUUGAGUCCU